rnacentral:tRNA from 1 species
GCAGGGAUAGCUCAGUUGGUAGAGCACUGGACCGAUAAUCCAGAGGUCGAUGGUUCGAACCCAUCUCCCUGUACCA